rnacentral:rRNA from 1 species
GACGAACGCUGGCGGCGUGCCUAACACAUGCAAGUCGAGCGGGAAGCUUUCGAUUGAGACUUCGGUUGAUUUUGGAAGUGGAGAGCGGCGGACGGGUGAGUAACGCGUGAGUAACCUGCCCCAUAGACUGGGAUAACACAGUGAAAAUUGUGCUAAUACCGGAUGAAAUAGUAGAACCGCAUGGUUUAACUAUCAAAGAUUUAUCGCUAUGGGAUGGACUCGCGUCUGAUUAGCUAGUUGGUGAGGUAAUGGCUCACCAAGGCGACGAUCAGUAGCCGAACUGAGAGGUUGAUCGGCCACAUUGGGACUGAGACACGGCCCAGACUCCUACGGGAGGCAGCAGUGGGGAAUAUUGCGCAAUGGGGGGCAACCCUGACGCAGCAACGCCGCGUGAAGGAAGAAGGUUUUCGGAUCGUAAACUUUGUCUCAAGGGAAGAUAGUGACGGUACCUUGGGAGGAAGCCACGGCUAACUACGUGCCAGCAGCCG